rnacentral:rRNA from 1 species
AUGCUACCAAGGAGCAUUGUCAAGCUUAUUCAGCUGCAGCAUAUUCUUGCGGGUGCCAUAAAAAUUCAAGAUGGCAACGACGAUGUUGAGACAUCUUUAGAAGGUGCGCCGAUGCUAAUGAGGAACAGGCUAUGUGUUUCGACCUUCUCUUCAGUGGCUUUAUGUGUGGUACGCUGUGCACCUCAUAAUGCGUGUUGUUGCUCGCAUUUACCUGCGUCAGCAAUGCACCAAGGUGUACGUGGUGUUGCACUUCCCAGAGGAAUCUGUAAACUGAAAGCUCUACACACCCUAGGUACUGUGAACAUGGCAUGGCGGAAGGCCGCUCUAGAAGAGAUAAGAAGACUCCUCUGGCUCCGCAAGUUAAGGGUAACUGGCAUCAACAAGAGAAACAGCCAAGAGUUGUGUUCUACAAUUGCUGAUCUCAUGUGCCUGGAAUCGCUGUUAAUAGAGUCGGAGGGCAAGCCUGGCUUAUCUGGCUGCUUGGAUGAACUGAGGUCGCCUCCGGAAGACCUUCAGAGCCUCAAGUUGUAUGGCAACAUGGUCACUUUGACACGAUGGAUGUAUCGGCUCCAAAAUCUCGUGAAGCUAAAGCUACGGAGCUCAAGGAUAUUGGAAUGUGAUACUGCGAUACAAGCCCUUGGGGAUUUGCCAAACCUGGUCAUACUACGCCUGUGGAAGGAGUCUUUCGAUGGAGAUGAGAUUCGUGUCAGUUUUCCUCGGUACAGAUUCCGGAGCCUGGUGGUACUGGAGUUGGAUCGCGCUGGUGACCUCAAAACUGUGGAGUUUGAACCAGAAGCAACACCUAAGCUAGAGCUGCUGCAGUUCGGUGGUUCGCCUAAAGCAGCCAAGGUUGGGUUGUUUUCUGGACUACAACAUCUUCAGAGAUUCAAGGAAUUUAAGCUCGUCGGUGCCUACGAGCCCGCCUUCGUGGCAGACUUGCAGGAGCAGCUUGGUAUGAAUCAAAAUCUCCCAGUUUUGAAGUCCUACUGA